rnacentral:misc_RNA from 1 species
AACUUUUGACAACGGAUCUCUUGGCUAGCAGGUCGAUGAAGAACGCAGCUAGCUGCGUUAAACGGUGUGAAUUGCAGGACACGCCGAGCACUUGAUUUUCGAACGCACAUUGCGGCUACGGGUUCGUCCCGUAGCCUCGUCUGUCUGAGGGUCGGAUAACUUAUUGACUGUAAUACAGGCUCUUUCGUGGGGACCCUCCAAGGGACCCCUCGUAGGGUUGUAAGUCUGCGCUUGUCCUUUGCGGCGGCGGUCCGAGACGUCUUGUCAGCACUUCUUGUUGCUUGCACAUUCGGCUCGGCACUUCCAAGCACUGAACGCGCCCGACCUGGGUAGCUGCACACCUCGUGUGUGCGGCACACCCCACAAAGUAACUCACUUUGUCGACCUCAGAUCAGGCGAGAUUACCCGCUGAACUUAAGCAUAUCAAUAAGCGGAGGCU